rnacentral:rRNA from 1 species
AUUGAACGCUGGCGGCAGGCCUAACACAUGCAAGUCGAACGGUAACACGAAGAGGCUUUCUUCUUUGCUGUCGCGUGGCGGGGGGGGGUGAAAUGUCUGGGAAAAUGCACGAUGGAGGGGGGUAUCUCCUGGAAACGGUAGCUAUUACCGCAUAAAGUCGCAACACCAAAGAGGGGGAGCUUCGGGCCCCUUGCCAGAGGAUGUGCCCAGGUGGGAUUAGCUAGUUGGUGGGGUAACGGCUCACCUAGGCGACGAUCCCUAGCUGGUCUGAGAGGAUGACCAGCCACACUGGAACUGAGACACGGUCCAGACUCCUACGGGAGGCAGCAGUGGGGAAUAUUGCACAAUGGGCGCAAGCCUGAUGCAGCCAUGCCGCGUGUAUGAAGAAGGCCUUCGGGUUGUAAAGUACUUUUAUCGGGGAAGAAGAGAAGCAAGUUAAUACCUUGCCUCAUUGACGUUACCCACAGAAGAAGCACCGGCUAACUCCGUG